UUUAGAACUCGAGAUAUGGGCUGAACACUGAACAGUGUCUGGGCUGCAGGACAGAUUUUGACUUCUCCGUUGUUGCUAAGAUUUGGACUUCCAAACAGCAGAAUUGAGUCUUGCAUUCCUCAUGAAUGUUUUAGGCCUAUGUCUUAGCUUUCUAGC
rfam:Populus trichocarpa scaffold_17_contig_317, whole genome shotgun sequence.